rnacentral:rRNA from 1 species
AGAGUUUGAUCAUGGCUCAGAGUGAACGCUGGCGGCGUGCCUAACACAUGCAAGUCGAGCGAAGCAACUGUCUGUAGCAAUACAGAUAAGUGCUUAGCGGCAGACGGGUGAGUAACACGUAGAUAACCUGCCCUUCAAAGGGGGAUAGCCAGCCGAAAGGUUGGGUAAUACCGCGUACGAUUCCAAAAGGGCAUCUUUUUGGAAUGAAACAUCCGCAAGGAUGGAUGAAGGAGGGAUCUGCGGCCUAUCAGGUAGUUGGUGAGGUAAUGGCUCACCAAGCCAAUGACGGGUAUCCGACCUUAAAGGGUGAACGGACACACUGACACUGGGACACGGGUCAGACUCCUACGGGAGGCAGCAGUGAGGAAUUUUGGACAAUGGGGGAAACCCUGAUCCAGCGACGCCGCGUGGAGGACGAAGGUCUUCGGAUUGUAAACUCCUUUUCUCCGAGAAUAAGAAACCUCUAGAAAUAGAGGGAGUGAAUGUACCGGAGGAAUAAGCCACGGCUAACUUCGUGCCAGCAGCCGCGGUAAUACGAAGGUGGCAAGCGUUACUCGGAAUUACUAGGCGUAAAGCGCGGGUAGGUGGUUCUGUAAGUCAGUUGUGUAAGCUCCCGGCUCAACUGGGAGAGGUCAACUGAUACUGCAGGACUUGAGUGUGGGAGAGGAUACUGGAAUUCCCGGUGUAGCGGUGAAAUGCGCUGAGUUCGGGAGGAACACCAAAGGCGAAAGCAGGUAUCUGGACCACUACUGACACUGAGCCGCGAAAGCUAGGGGAGCAAACAGGAUUAGAUACCCGGUAGUCCUAGCUGUAAACGAUGCACAUUAGACGUGAGGGGUAUUGACCCCCUUCGUGUCGCAGCAAACGCAUUAAAUGUGCCGCCUGGGGAGUACGGCCGCAAGGUUGAAACUCAAAGGAAUUGACGGGGGCCCGCACAAGCGGUGGAGCAUGUGGUUUAAUUCGACGCAACGCGAAGAACCUUAUCCUGGGUUUGAACUACUAGAAGUAGACCUAUCGAAAGACUGGUCGGCCUGUAAAGUCAGGAGCUAGCAGAGGUGCUGCAUGGCUGUCGUCAGCUCGUGUCGUGAGAUGUUGGGUUAAGUCCCGCAACGAGCGCAACCCCUAUCCCAUGUUGCCACGUCCGUAAUAGACAGCACUCUUGGGAAACUGCCUCGGAUAACGGGGAGGAAGGUGGGGAUGACGUCAAGUCCUCAUGGCCUUUAUGUCCAGGGCUACACACGUGCUACAAUGGCCGGUACAACGAGCAGCAAAUCCGCAAGGAGGAGCAAAUCUCUAAAAGCCGGCCCCAGUUCAGAUAGUGGGCUGCAACCCGCCCACUUGAAGGCGGAAUCGCUAGUAAUCGGGGAUCAUCUGGCCCCGGUGAAUACGUUCCCGGGCCUUGUACACACCGCCCGUCACACCACGAAAGCUGGGUGCAACCGAAGUCGGUGAUUUAACCGCAAGGGAAUAGCCGCCGAAGUUGUGACCAGUGAUUGGGGUGAAAUCGUAACAAGGUA